rnacentral:rRNA from 1 species
GAUGAACGCUGGCGGCGUGCCUAAUACAUGCAAGUCGAGCGAACAGAUGAGGAGCUUGCUCCUCUGACGUUAGCGGCGGACGGGUGAGUAACACGUGGAUAACCUACCUAUAAGACUGGGAUAACUUCGGGAAACCGGAGCUAAUACCGGAUAAUAUAUUGAACCGCAUGGUUCAAUAGUGGAAGACGGUUUUGCUGUCACUUAUAGAUGGAUCCGCGCCGCAUUAGCUAGUUGGUAAGGUAACGGCUUACCAAGGCAACGAUGCGUAGCCGACCUGAGAGGGUGAUCCGACACACUGGAAGUGAGACACGGCCCAGACUCCUACGGGAGGCAGCAGUAGGGAAUCUUCCGCAAUGGGCGAAAGCCUGACGGAGCAACGCCGCGUGAGUGAUGAAGGUCUUCGGCUCGUAAAACUCUGUUAUUAGGGAAGAACAAAUGCGCAAGUAACUAUGCACGUCUUGACGGUACCUAAACAGAAAGCCACGGCUAACUACGUG